UUGGCUUGGAAUUUCGUAAUUGUUUUGCAGGGUUACGUCGGUAGGAAGCUAUUUUUCUUCAUCCAUGAAGUAUGGUCAAACAUGCUUGAGUAUGGUGGUGCUGGUGCCGUAGGCCAGCUAGGCAACAGGAUGUAGACAUCCUUGAUGGACUGUGUUUUUGUAGAAUACCAUAGAGCCACUCUGCCCAUGGAGGAGGAUAACCCUGGAGCAUACUGAUCAAUGAGCUGAGGGGUAAACGCAGACGAACUUCACGGGAUCGAAGGAUUGGUGUUUGCUAAAAUUUUCACAACAACCCUGCAGAGUUUCAUCAUGAUUUCACACACCAUUGUUUUCUUUUCUUUAGUUCCAAUAACAAUAAAGUUGCAAUGCGGAUGGGGGAGAUGCUUUUGGAACGGAAAUAAUACUGACCAGUCGCGAAUCCCUGGAAGAUGUCCCAGUCGGUAAACACAAUGGGUUUUAAAGGCGAUUUUGUGCAAGAAUACCACCGUCAGUGUAUAUUGAGGAAGUGAAAAUGUUUUCACUUGCUGAUAGUUUUUUUUAGGCUGGUAGCUUAUGUCUGUAAUGCCGUCCUUAAUUUACAUUUAUUUUUGUAACUACCUCAAAAUUCUAUUGGACCAAUGCACCAGCAUCAUCAACGGUAUUAUUAAAAGA